AUGCUGAAAAAAAUAUUUAUUUAUUACAUGUAAAAAGGGAAAAAAAAUAUGGAUCAAUUUUUAAAAUUUAAUUAUGCUUUGAUAAUUUUUCCUUCUCUAUUUCUUGCAGUCACCCGAUGGAAUUGUUAUGGUGACAAAGAUUGUCCAUCACAUAUGUGUGUCCCUCCUCUAUAUCUGAAGUGCAUUAAAUCAACAUGUGAGUGCCUUCUUAAGAGAUGGUGACCAAUUGACCAUUUAUAUUAAUAAUAAUUGUAUGUUACUAACAAGUGUAUAAUUUAUUUGUACCUUGAUCUAUGUUUCUCUUUCAUUUUACUAAUUUCUUUGAAUAACUCAAAAUUGUAUUAUUAUUAUUAUUAUUAUUAUUAUAUCAUACAAGUAUAUUGUUAAUUACCUUCAUUCAAUAAUAAAAGAUAUUUAAAGUAACAA